UCCUUAUGUUUGGUGUGUUAUUUCUAGAUUACUGGCGAUUCAAUUUAUAAUCUUACGAGGUUAGGAGACGUUGAAACUGAUAAGAAUGAUCAUCCAUUGGAUCCACCCCUAAAGAUAUUAUCAGUUGAGGUAUUGUGGAAUCCAUUUGAUGAUAUUGUACCAAGAGAACGUGUAAAAUCUAAGGAACUUUCAACAAGUGACACCGACAAUAAAGAUACGAAGAAAAAAGCUGUUAAAAAGUUGAAUUUACUUUCAUUUGGAGAAGAAGCUGAAGAAGAGGAGAAUGAAUUUGCAGCUGUAAAGAAAAAAAUCAAGAGCAGUCAUGAUGUACUUGAUA